rnacentral:rRNA from 1 species
UUUAUGGAGAGUUUGAUCCUGGCUCAGGAUGAACGCUGGCGGCGUGCCUAAUACAUGCAAGUCGAGCGAACGGACGAGAAGCUUGCUUCUCUGAUGUUAGCGGCGGACGGGUGAGUAACACGUGGAUAACCUACCUAUAAGACUGGGAUAACUUCGGGAAACCGGAGCUAAUACCGGAUAAUAUUUUGAACCGCAUGGUUCAAAAGUGAAAGACGGUCUUGCUGUCACUUAUAGAUGGAUCCGCGCUGCAUUAGCUAGUUGGUAAGGUAACGGCUUACCAAGGCAACGAUGCAUAGCCGACCUGAGAGGGUGAUCGGCCACACUGGAACUGAGACACGGUCCAGACUCCUACGGGAGGCAGCAGUAGGGAAUCUUCCGCAAUGGGCGAAAGCCUGACGGAGCAACGCCGCGUGAGUGAUGAAGGUCUUCGGAUCGUAAAACUCUGUUAUUAGGGAAGAACAUAUGUGUAAGUAACUGUGCACAUCUUGACGGUACCUAAUCAGAAAGCCACGGCUAACUACGUGCCAGCAGCCGCGGUAAUACGUAGGUGGCAAGCGUUAUCCGGAAUUAUUGGGCGUAAAGCGCGCGUAGGCGGUUUUUUAAGUCUGAUGUGAAAGCCCACGGCUCAACCGUGGAGGGUCAUUGGAAACUGGAAAACUUGAGUGCAGAAGAGGAAAGUGGAAUUCCAUGUGUAGCGGUGAAAUGCGCAGAGAUAUGGAGGAACACCAGUGGCGAAGGCGACUUUCUGGUCUGUAACUGACGCUGAUGUGCGAAAGCGUGGGGAUCAAACAGGAUUAGAUACCCUGGUAGUCCACGCCGUAAACGAUGAGUGCUAAGUGUUAGGGGGUUUCCGCCCCUUAGUGCUGCAGCUAACGCAUUAAGCACUCCGCCUGGGGAG